UUCACUUACGCACUAUCGUAUGAGAUAUGGUUAUUUGCGAAGUUCGUCGAAGUUAUCGUCUGUAUAAGAAGUUUGCGUGGUGGACGGUUUGACGGUUGAAAUUUCUGCUUUUGUUAAGCUACGUCCUGCUCUUAUUUUAGUUAUUAGUUUGCCAGAUUAGUUUUAGUUUCGAUUAAUGUUAAUUUUGCGUGACGUUACUGAUGGAUAUUCUAUGUUCUUAAGUGGCUGAUCUUCAUCUUCAGAGGAGUGUUCGAUUUCUGGAUCCUGCAUCGCAACGGAAGCUCUUAUCUUCAGCUGCAUUGUUGGUAACUAUAUUGAACUACAGGGUUGGUUGGUCAGAAGAGUAGUCAUGUUAGCUUUUAAAAUUGCUAUACCAGACUGCUUGGGUAGCUGAAAUUGAAACUACACAGAUUGGCUGCUUGCAAGAAGCCUUAGUCAGUACGUUCAAGUGGCUGAGGGGUGUAGCCAUUUGUAGACUGGUAACAGGGCCGGAUUUAGCGGUGGGCAAUGAGGGCACCUGCCCAGGGGCCUCCACAUUUUAGGGGGCCUCAAAAAAAGGACCCAGGCUUAAAUAAUUUUUAAUUUCUGUAAAAAUAUAUGGAAUAAGUUUUUUUUAGUCUGGAAUAAAACAAAAUUGUGGAUAUUUAUGAUAAUCUUUUUUCACCACUGAAAACUACAGUAAAAUCAAAGUAAAAAACAUGAUUAUUAGAAAUUUAGGCUGUUUACAGUUACCCCUAAAAUUACCUCCUAUAUCUAUUUUUGAAUGCAUUGUUGGUUUACAAAAUAAUGAUCGACUCAGUCACCUGGCUUUGAUGAGCAUUGAGUAUGACAUCCUCAGACAUUGACUUUGACAUAUUGAUCACCAAAUUUGCAAGGGCCAAGUCUCGUAAAGUGUGGUCUGUAAAUACAGAUACCGCUAUAGUUUUUCUAUUCUACGAAGAAACUUUGAUUUUAAGAUUGGCGGCACUGAGUAUGGGUCAUGCACCUUCGAAAAAUGGUCAGUUUGUACAGUCAGGUGUGAAGUCCUGAUGAGUGAAGGCAAACUAACAUUUAGAUUUGUGGUAAUAAAACGCAUGCUAUUUAUUUGAAAUUGCUUUUCAUAAACUUUUUAUACUAGUGUGCAGAGUCAGGAGAGGUCAUUUUGCACAAUUUAUUAAGAUUACCAAAAUUCAUUACUGGCAGGAUCGGCAAUGAAUAUUUCCCGGUGGAGCUUACAGCGACCCCCGGUGAGGCUUGCUUCGCUCGCCACCCGCCUCAAGCAGGGUGGGCCUCCACACACUUGAUUGCCCAGGGGCAUCCACAUGCCUAAAUCCGGCCCUGCUGGUAGAGUGGCUGAUUGGUGCAGCCAUUUGUGGCUUUAGUGGCUAAAAUUGCAGCCAUUUUUCGACUGGUUAAGUGGCUGAAUAUGCAGAUUGUAGUUACUUGAGUUGGUUUG